GACGAACGCUGGCGGCGUGCUUAACACAUGCAAGUCGAACGGAAAGGCGCUGCGUUUGUGGGGUGCUCGAUUGGCGAAGGGGGGAGUAACACAUGAGUAAACUGCCCUUGACAUUGGGAUAACCUUAGGGAACUGGGGCGAAUAUCGGAGAUGAGCUCCUGCUGCAUGUGGUGGGAUGGAAAGUGUCGGCGGUUGUGGAUGUACUCGCGGCUUAUGAGCUUGUUGGUGGGGUAGUGGCUUACCACGGCUUUGACGGGUAGGCGGCCUGAGAGGGUGACCGGGCACAUUGGGACUGAGAUACGGCCCAGAAUGCUACGGGCGGCAGCAGUGGGGAGCAUUGCGCAAUGGGCGGGCGCCUGAUGCAGAAACGCCGCGUGCGGGAUGCCCGCCUUCUGGUUAUGAACCGCUUUCGCAUGUGAUGAAGACUGAGUGACGGUAACGGGUCAAGAAGCACCGGCUAACUACGUG
rnacentral:rRNA from 1 species